rnacentral:rRNA from 1 species
GACGAACGCUGGCGGCGUGCUUAACACAUGCAAGUCGAACGGAAAGGCCCUGCUUUUGUGGGGUGCUCGAGUGGCGAACGGGUGUGUAACACGAGAGUAACCUGCCCUAGACUUUGGGAUAACUUCAGGAAACUGGGGCUAAUACCGGAUAGGAGCUCCUGCUGCAUGGUGGGGGUUGGAAAGUUUCGGCGGUUGGGGAUGGACUCGCGGCUUAUCAGCUUGUUGGUGGGGUAGUGGCUUACCAAGGCGUUGACGGGUAGCCGGCCUGAGAGGGUGACCGGCCACAUUGGGACUGAGAUACGGCCCAGACUCCUACGGGAGGCAGCAGUGGGGAAUAUUGCACAAUGGGCGGAAGCCUGAUGCAGCAACGCCGCGUGCGGGAUGACGGCCUUCGGGUUGUAAACCGCUUUCGCCUGUGACGAAGCGUGAGUGACGGUAAUGGGUAAAGAAGCACCGGCUAACUACGUG